CCCUUAGAUGUCCUGGGCCGCACGCGCGCUACACUGAUGCAUUCAACGAGUAAUUAUUCCUUGGCCGAGAGGCCUGGGUAAUCUUUUAAACGUGCAUCGUGAUAGGGAUAGAUUAUUGCAAUUAUUAAUCUUGAACGAGGAAUUCCUAGUAAACGCAGAUCAUCAAUCUGCAUUGAUUACGUCCCUGCCCUUUGUACACACCGCCCGUCGCUCCUACCGAUUGAAUGCUCAGGUGAGCCAUUCGGACUUUCAUCAUGCUGGUUUCCAGUUUUGAUGAAGGAAAGUCUUGCGAACCUUAUCAUUUAGAGGAAGGAGAAGUCGUAACA
rnacentral:rRNA from 1 species